CCUACGGGAGGCAGCAGUGGGGAAUAUUGCACAAUGGGGGAAACCCUGAUGCAGCGACGCCGCGUGAAGGAAGAAGUACUUCGGUAUGUAAACUUCUAUCAGCAGGGAAGAAAGUGACGGUACCUGACCAAGAAGCCCCGGCUAACUACGGUCCAGCAGCCGCGGUAAUACGUAGGGGGGACGCGUUAACCGGAUUUACUGGGUGUAAAGGGAGCGUAGGCGGCGAUGCAAGUCAGACGUGAAAGCCCGGGGCUCAACUCCGGGACUGCCUUUGAAACUGUAUGGCUAGAGUGCGGGAGAGGCAAGUGGAAUGCCUGGUGUAGCGGUGAAAUGCGUAGAUAUCAGGAGGAACACCAGUGGCGAAGGCGGCUUGCUGGACUGUAAAUGACGCUGAGGCUCGAAAGCGUGGGGAGCGAACAGGAUUAGAUACCCCUGUAGUC
rnacentral:rRNA from 1 species